UACGUAGGGUGCGAGCGUUAAUCGGAAUUACUGGGCGUAAAGCGUUGCGCAGGCGGUUCGUCGGUGUCCGCAUGUGAAAGCCCCGGGCUCAACCUGGGAAUGGCAUUGGAAACUGGCGGGCUUGAGUGUGGCAGAGGGGGGUGGAAUUCCGCGGUGUAGCAGUGAAAUGCGUAGAGAUGCGGAGGAACACCGAUGGCGAAGGCAGCCCCCUGGGCUGACACUGACGCUCAGGCACGAAAGCGUGGGGAGCAAACAGG
rnacentral:rRNA from 1 species